GACGAACGCUGGCGGCGUGCCUAAUACAUGCAAGUCGAGCGAAGUUUUUCUGGUGCUUGCACUAGAAAAACUUAGCGGCGAACGGGUGAGUAACACGUAAAGAACCUGCCUCAUAGACUGGGACAACUAUUGGAAACGAUAGCUAAUACCGGAUAACAGUAUUUCUCGCAUGAGAGAUAUUUAAAAGUUGGUUAUGCUAACACUAUGAGAUGGCUUUGCGGUGCAUUAGCUAGUUGGUGGGGUAAAGGCCCACCAAGGCGACGAUGCAUAGCCGACCUGAGAGGGUGAUCGGCCACACUGGGACUGAGACACGGCCCAGACUCCUACGGGAGGCAGCAGUAGGGAAUCUUCCGCAAUGGGCGAAAGCCUGACGGAGCAACGCCGCGUGAGUGAAGAAGGAUUUCGGUUCGUAAAGCUCUGUUGUUAGGGAAGAAUGGAUAUGUAGUAACUAUACAUGAAAGAGACGGUACCUAACCAGAAAGCCACGGCUAACUACGUG
rnacentral:rRNA from 1 species